rnacentral:lncRNA from 1 species
AACAGCCAUGGAAUAACAAAAAUUCAAACAUGUAUAUUAGUGCUCAGAAGUGACGCCUAGCACCUGACUUUUGGGGAAAAGGUGACACUAAACGACAGUUCAAGCACUUAACACUAAACCUUUCGCAAAAGGUGGCACUCAGUGGCAAUCCUAAUGCUCAGCGGUGUUCCUCUUGCAAAACGAUCGCACACAGAGAAACCCUUCUACCACUAAACAUCUUGAAACAAAAAUACUCCAGACCUGUAGUGAAACAUGGUGUUCAACAAUGCCCUGCUACCGCUCAACUUCGAAGAAUUUGCAUUUACACCCGCUCAAUGGUACAAGAUUGACGCUCAACGCUGUAUCAGAUAUCAACACAUUUAAAACUAUGAUUGGGGGAAAAAUGAACAUGUUUAAAUAGCCAAAUUGGUAUUUCCUACUUAAUACUUUUGUGAAAACAACUUUUAAUGUCAAGCCACAUACCAACUUGCUCAAUGGAUCAAAUCUUAAGUUCCUCAAUUCUACACAAAUUCAGUCAAUGAAGAAAACAUACAAACAUCCAACAGAAACCAAAUUUCAGCAAACCAAAUACCAUUAUGUCACCCGACCAUACAAAACAUAAAUUUCAAAACAUCUACAAUUUAAAAAUAAAGCAAUUAACUUCCCUUACCUGAAAGACAAUCAAACAACUUCAGAAACCUAUAAACACCUCCUAAUGCACAAAAAGCACUAUUUGAACAACACAAAUACGAUCAUGAUACACCAUUAGAACUACUGAUCAAUAGAUAAUAUUAUAAAAGACUCAAACACUACAUGCAAACUAAAACCGUCCACCUAUACAAAUGAACGUACAAACUAAGAAAAAUGGUAAAAAAAUCAACUUACUCUAUUUAAAAA